rnacentral:rRNA from 1 species
UGGGGGAUAUUGCACAAUGGGCGAAAGCCUGAUGCAGCGACGCCGCGUGGGGGAUGAAGGCCUUCGGGUUGUAAACUUCUUUUGCUCUGAACAAGGCAUGCUAAUGGGUGUGUUGAGUGUAGGGGUUGAUUAGCGCCGGCUAACUACGUGCCAGCAGCCGCGGUAAUACGUAGGGCGCGAGCGUUGUCCGGAAUUAUUGGGCGUAAAGGGCUUGUAGGUGGCUGGUUGCGUCUGUCGUGAAAGCUCAUGGCUUAACUGUGGGUUUGCGGUGGGUACGGGCUGGCUUGAGUGCAGUAGGGGAGGCUGGAAUUCCUGGUUUAGCGGUGGAAUGCGCAGAUAUCAGGAGGAAUACCGGUGGCGAAGGCGGGUCUCUGGGCUGUUACUGACACUGAGGAGCGAAAGCAUGGGGAGCGAACAGG